rnacentral:rRNA from 1 species
UGAACGUAUUCCAAGGUAAGAGAGACCGUUCUCAACCACCGUGAAACUAAAACGGGUAAAGAAUAUGGGACCGGUUUAAAGGACCAACCAAGGCCAAUGAUACCCGAGAAAAAAGGGGUGAGAAUCCCCCUUUUUCCCCGCAAAACCCAAGGGGUUCCCUACACGAUGCUCGUCAAGUAGGGUUAUCGGGUCCUAACUGAGUCCGAAAGGGGUAACCGAUGGAAAAUCGGGUUAAUAUUUCCGAUACCAACUAUAGAGCGUGAUGGGAGGACGCAUAGGGCUAUGUGAGGUCACUGAUGGAAUAGUGGCUCGAAAGGUGUAGGCUGGGAGAGAAAGGAAAAUCCACUCUCCUAUAGCUGAGACCUGACAGGCUGUGGAGGCUCUUAGGAGCCAAAACAGAAUCACAGAUGCCGAAGUGCCAAGAAAAGUCUCUAAGCAUAUCUAUAGUUGCCCGUACCGUAAACCAACACAGGUGGGUGAGAUGAGAAUUCUAAGGCGCGUGGAAGAACCAUUGUUAAGGAACUCUGCAAACUAGCACCGUAUCUUCGGUAGAAGGUGUGCCUACUUGGGUGAAGCCCCUAGCGGGUGGAGCCUGAGAGGUUGCAACAAAGAGUCCCUCCCGACUGUUUAUCAAAAACACAGCACUAUGCUAACUCGUAAGAGGAUGUAUAUGGUGUGACGCCUGCCCGGUGCCGGAAGGUUAAAUGAUGGGGUUAGCCGUGAGCGAAGCUCUUGAUUGAAGCCCCGGUAAACGGCGGCCGUAACUAUAACGGUCCUAACGGUACGCGAAAUUCCUUGUCGGUUAAAUACCGACCUGCAUGAAUGGCGUAACGAGAUGGGAGCUGUCUCAACAAUGGUCCAGUGAAAUUGUAGUGGAGGUGAAAAUUCCUCCUACCCGCGGCAAGACGGAAAGACCCCGUGCACCUUUACUACAGCUUGACACUGCAAUCGGGAUAGAUAUGUGCAGGAUAGGUGGGAGGCUAAGAAGCUUCGACGCUAGUCGAAGUGGAGCCAACCUUGAGAUACCACCCUUAUCUAUUCUGGUUGCUAACUUGCGAGUGUUAUCCACUCGGAGGACAAUGUCUGGUGGGUAGUUUGACUGGGGCGGUCGCCUCCUAAAAAGUAACGGAGGCUUACAAAGGUUAGUUCAUAUGGGUUGGAAAUCCAUAGAAGAGUAUAAUGGCAUAAACUAGCUUAACUGCGAGACAGACAAGUCGAGCAGAGACGAAAGUCGGUCAUAGUGAUCCGGUGGUUCUGAGUGGAAGGGCCAUCGCUCAAAGGAUAAAAGGUACGCCGGGGAUAACAGGCUGAUCUCCCCCAAGAGCUCACAUCGACGGGGAGGUUUGGCACCU